GACGAACCGUCCGAACGUUUUUCGGACUCACUGGGCUUAAAGGGUGCGUGGGCGGCGCGGAAAGUUGGGUGUGAAAUCCCUCGGCUCAACCGAGGAACUGCGCCCAAAACUACCGUGCUCGAGGGAGAUAGAGGUGAGCGGAACUUAGGGUGGAGCGGUGAAAUGCGUUGAUAUCCUAAGUAACACCGGUGGCGAAAGCGGCUCACUGGAUCUCUUCUGCCGCUGAGGCACGAAAGCUAGGGUAGCGAACGGG
rnacentral:rRNA from 1 species